rnacentral:rRNA from 1 species
UACAGAGGUCCCAAGCGUUGUUCGGAUUCACUGGGCGUAAAGGGUGCGUAGGCGGUCGGGUAAGUCUGAUGUGAAAUUUCACAGCUUAACUGUGAAACUGCAUUGGAUACUAUUCGGCUUGAGAGUUGGAGGGGGGACUGGAAUUCUUGGUGUAGCAGUGAAAUGCGUAGAGAUCGGGAGGAACACCCGUGGCGAAGGCGGCUCACUGGGCUGACCUUGACGCUGAGGCGCGAAGGCGUGGGGAGCGAACGGG